UUCUUCGUGGACACAGGUGGGCACCCUCUGGGCUUUCUGAUGGGUGAAAAGCCCUUUCUUGCCCGGGCUUUCCCCAGAGUAGAAGGCUCAGGAGUGUGCCUUUGUCACUUCCUGACCUCG
rnacentral:precursor_RNA from 8 species